rnacentral:lncRNA from 1 species
UGGAGGCUGAUCUCUGAAGCAAAGAGGGUGUAGCCUAAAAGAUGAGAAGGUUCUUCUGUACCUGUUGACAGCCCUUCCUGGUAUCCUGUCUGAGGUGCAGCUUCAGGAGUCAGGACCUGGCCUUGUGAAACCCUCACAGUCACUCUCCCUCACCUGUUCUGUCACUGGUUACUCCAUCACAGUACUGGAUCCGGAAGUUCCCAGGAAAUAAAACUGGAGUGGAUGGGAUAUAUAAACAGUGCAGGCAGCACUAACUACAACCCGUCUCUCAAAAGUCGAAUCUCCAUUACUAGAGACACAUCCAAGAAUCAGUUCUUCCUGCAGGUGAACUCUGUAACUACUGAGGACACAGCCACUUAUUACUGUGCGAGACACAG